rnacentral:rRNA from 1 species
UACGGAGGGUGCGAGCGUUGUUCGGAAUCACUGGGCGUAAAGGGCGUGUAGGCGGUCCGCUAAGUCUGAUGUGAAAGCCCGGGGCUCACCCCCGGAAGGGCAUUGGAAACUGACGGACUCGAGUCUCGAAGAGGAGGGUGGAAUUCCUGGUGUAGCGGUGAAAUGCGUAGAUAUCAGGAGGAACACCGGUGGCGAAGGCGGCCCUCUGGACGGUGACUGACGCUGAGACGCGAAAGCGUGGGGAGCAAACAGG